AUUGCUUCCUGGCCUUUUGGCUAAGAUAAAGCACAGUAUCUGUUCUUAUAAAUUUAAUAAUACACACAUACUAUCUUCUCACUUUUACAUUACAAGUGUUGUUUUGAAGCAAAACAUUUGAAACAGCCAGCUCAUGAGUCUUAGUUUUCUCCUGAAUGUGAUGUUAAUAACAUUCAUAUUUGAGAGACAGUAU